UCCCUGGUGGCUCAGACGGCAAAGCGUCCGCCUGCAAUGCAGGAGACCCAGGUUCGAUCCCCUGGUCAGGAA
rnacentral:tRNA from 1 species